AUUGAACGCUGGCGGCAUGCCUUACACAUGCAAGUCGAACGGUAACAGGCCGCAAGGUGCUGACGAGUGGCGAACGGGUGAGUAAUGCAUCGGAACGUGCCCAGUAGUGGGGGAUAGCCCGGCGAAAGCCGGAUUAAUACCGCAUACGACCUGAGGGUGAAAGGGGGGGAUCGCAAGACCUCUCGCUAUUGGAGCGGCCGAUGUCAGAUUAGCUAGUUGGUGGGGUAAAGGCCUACCAAGGCAACAAUCUGUAGUUGGUCUGAGAGGACGACCAGCCACACUGGGACUGAGACACGGCCCAGACUCCUACGGGAGGCAGCAGUGGGGAAUUUUGGACAAUGGGCGCAAGCCUGAUCCAGCAAUGCCGCGUGCAGGAAGAAGGCCUUCGGGUUGUAAACUGCUUUUGUCAGGGAAGAAAUCUUCUGGGUUAAUACCUCGGGAGGAUGACGGUACCUGAAGAAUAAGCACCGGCUAACUACGUGCCAGCCGCCGCCGUAAUAC
rnacentral:rRNA from 1 species